rnacentral:rRNA from 1 species
AGUCGAACGGUCAGUAGCAAUACUGAUAGUGGCGCACGGGUGCGUAACACGUAACUAACCUACCUAUAACUGGGGGAUAGCCCGCCGAAAGGCGGAUUAAUACCGCAUAAGCUAGUUGACUCGGCAUCGGGUUAUUAGUAAAGAUUUAUUGGUUAUAGAUGGGGUUGCGGGUCAUUAGCUAGUUGGUAAGGUAACGGCUUACCAAGGCGACGAUGACUAGGGGAGCUGAGAGGCUGGUCCCCCACACGGGCACUGAGAUACGGGCCCGACUCCUACGGGAGGCAGCAGUAGGGAAUAUUGGGCAAUGGGCGAGAGCCUGACCCAGCCAUGCCGCGUGCAGGAAGAAGGCUUUCUGAGUCGUAAACUGCUUUUGACAGGGAAGAAUAAGCGCUACGUGUAGCGUGAUGACGGUACCUGCAGAAUAAGCACCGGCUAACUCCGUGCCAGCAGCCGCGGUAAUACGGAGGGUGCGAGCGUUGUCCGGAUUUAUUGGGUUUAAAGGGUGCGUAGGCGGCUUUUUAAGUCUGGGGUGAAAGCCCGCUGCUCAACAGCGGAACUGCCCUGGAUACUGGAGAGCUUGAGUACAGACGAGGUUGGCGGAAUGGACUGAGUAGCGGUGAAAUGCAUAGAUACAGUCCAGAACCCCGAUUGCGAAGGCAGCUGACUAGGCUAUUACUGACGCUGAGGCACGAAAGCGUGGGGAGCGAACAGGAUUAGAUACCCUGGUAGUCCACGCCGUAAACGAUGGAUACUCGCUGCGAGCUAAAGAUUGUUCGUGGCUUAGGGAAACCGAUAAGUAUCCCACCUGGGGAGUACGCUCGCAAGAGUGAAACUCAAAGGAAUUGAC